rnacentral:rRNA from 1 species
CCUACGGGAGGCAGCAGUGAGGAAUAUUGGUCAAUGGGCGCGAGCCUGAACCAGCCAAGUAGCGUGAAGGAUGACUGCCCUACGGGUUGUAAACUUCUUUUAUCUAGGAAUAAAGUGCGGCAUGUGUGCUGCUUUGCAUGUACCUUAUGAAUAAGGAUCGGCUAACUCCGUGCCAGCAGCCGCGGUAAUACGGAGGAUCCGAGCGUUAUCCGGAUUUAUUGGGUUUAAAGGGAGCGUAGACGGGUUGUUAAGUCAGUUGUGAAAGUUUGCGGCUCAACCGUAAAAUUGCAGUUGAUACUGGCAGUCUUGAGUACAGUAGAGGUAGGCGGAAUUCGUGGUGUAGCGGUGAAAUGCUUAGAUAUCACGAAGAACCCCGAUUGCGAAGGCAGCUUACUAAACUGUGACUGACAUUGAUGCUCGAAAGUGUGGGUAUCAAACAGGAUUAGAUACCCUUGUAGUC